UUAGUAUUUUUCUAGAGACUUUAUAGUAUAAAUUAUUUGUUUUCCUUUUAUUGUUGUCUAUGCUAAUUUAUUGGUUGUGAUUAUGGGUCUACGUAGUAGUUUAUUGGAAAAAAUCAUUCGAGUGGUUAAGUAUAGGCUAUAGAAGUAUUAGAAAGACAAAGAAUAAAUAUGAUCAACAUCGUUCGACAUGAAAAUUUGGCUAUAGAGAGAAGUCAAAGACAUAUCUCUGAAGGUUAUUGCAUUUAUAGAGUUUUUUUUUAAUUUGCCUGAAAGAUAAUAUUAAGAAUUUGUUGAUUUAGUCUAAUUUGUAUCUGACAAUUCUAAGUUGAGAUAUACUACAUAAAUGAUGAAGUGAAUAAUCUCCAACUUACUUAUAAAUUUGUCAACAAUUAUUUGUAUAGUGUUUGCAAAUUUAUUUGUUCAUAUUACUUAAUAAUGUUUGGGGUUAUAGAAUUGUUCAAGAAGCAAAUAUUUUGAUAUGGUUGAUUUAGGCUUAUGUCCCUUGAGAUAUAUGAGAUAGUUUGGCUAAUCGUAUAUGAGCUUAUCAAAUGUGAAAUCACCAGGAAAAUUAUUUAUUUGGUCUUCCUCCAAUACAUCCUUAUUAUUCACUUUAUAAGCUAUUCAUAUGCGCAUGAAAAUAGAUUUAAGGGGAAUGAGAAAAUUAUUAGAUAAGUGUCAAUAUAAACCAAAAUUGUAGAGGUGACAAUGUUCACGAGCUAUAAAUUGUUAGGUUGUCUAUAAACUUACUUUUAAAUCUUAGUGGCAUAUUCUUAUCACAUAAGACAAUCGGAUGCAAGCCUCCAUUUUUUAUAAAUUAAUUGGUUGAGUUUAUGGGAACUAGAAAAGUAUUUUUGUCUUUGCGAACUAGAAAAUAAUUAUGAUCCUUCCUUAUAUACAAGUGAUUUUCAUAUAAUAUCCUUAGCGUAAAGAUGUCAACGUUUAAUGCAACCAAAUGAUAACAAGCACUUUGAAUUACUGUUAUUAAGUAUUAUUAUUCAUUCUUUUAAUUGAGACUAUUUAUUAAGUCGAAUUGUGUGAGAAAAAGUUUUAUUAAAAAUUGUAGAACAGAAGGACUGUAAUUUUUAAUCUCUAAAUUUUACUGUUCAAGUCAAAUUUGUGUGAGAAGAUUUUGCUAGCAGAUUGUGGAAUAUAGGAGAAUAGUAAGUUAAAUCCAUGAAUUGAAUAUUUUAAAUGUGGAAUGGUUAUGUUUCAGAACUAUACUGUCUCUAAAACUAUGCUUCCUACAUGAUAACCUUGAUUAAAGUUAGGAGAGUUGAAGUUCUAUUUUAACUUUAAGAUUUUUAUUCUAUUGUAAAACUAUAUUGAGUUAGGCAAUUCCACUAACUUUUUUUAGCAAAAUCGUCACUAUUAAAAGACAGAAAGGGUGAGAGGAGAAAUGUGAAACACGAGUUUACAGUUAUUCUCAUCCUGCUUUUUGAAUAUCAUGUACAAAUCAGGCCCAAAUGAGAGGCAUUAAUGUUUUACUGGAUCAUUUGUCAAUUUGAAUACCACCUGCUAAUAGCAUCCCACCUGCAACUCAUGUAUCACGCACCAAUAUUGUAACAUCCCUCAAAAAUGCUCACAAGUGCCUUAAGAAUGCUUUGGGAUUAUACCACUCAUGUAACACAUUAUUCUUAAUUUUUUUGGAAAAUCUGAGUUCGAAACACCGAUUAGGGGGUCAAAAUUUGUAGGAAAAUAGUUUCAGUGGAUUUUUAGGACCCGUACAUCGAAACAUAGAUUUCUCAAGGAUCUGUGCAAACCAGUAAGGUCCGCAACAAGUCCGCAUCGCGGACUUGCUUGCCUCUGUGUCGUGGACCUAGCAAGGAUUUUCUAGCCAAAUUUAGUUUUUAGUAAGGGCACUUUAGACUUUUUCCUAAAUUGUUAGGUAAUGAACCUAGACGUUUUUAGGACCUAAUUCAACUCUAUAAAUUAACCUAAACCCUAAUUCUAUUCAUUCUUCUACUAUUCACCUACUCAAAUAUUUCUCUCUCUACAAAAUACUCUCAAGGACUCCAUUGAAGACUUCAAGUAAAUUCACUCAAGCUCUUCAUCAAAACUCUUAAGUUCUUCCAAAUUAAUUGGUGUUCUCACUUAAGGUAUGCGGGUAUUGAUUAAUGGAUCCUUUCAUCCAUGAAGCCCAAUCAAUUUCUCAAAGUUUUCUAUCAAAUUAAAGUAUGUCAUUUUAUGGGUUUUAUGAUCUCUAUUUCUAUUGCAUGAAUUAUGAUUUAAAGUAUGAUCAUUAGUCUAUUUUGAUAUAAAUUAAUGGUUAUUGCAUUGAAUUAAAGAGUUUUUUUUAUGAAUUCUCCUAUUUGAUUUCUAGGGUUUAUGAUAUAAAAUAUGAGUAUUUUCAAUUAUACUUCCUAAUGAUAUUAUCUAUAUGAAUUAUGUAUGGGCUGAAAGAAAUUUUAUGAUCAUGCAUGUUUUCAAGUCAAUUUUAUGAUUUCAAGUCAAUUAAUCAUGCAUUCAUGUCUUGCCCUAAUUUCAAGUAUAAGCUAUGAUCUUGAAAUUCUAAGUAUGAAUCAUGUCUAUGUAUGUAUGAUUUCUAAUAUGGAAGAACAAUGCCCGUAUUGCACUUAUGUUAUGAAAAUGAGCUACUCUAUGAUUUUCAAACCUAUGAUAAUGACUAUGAUAUAUGAAAUUAUGAUUUCUAUGCUAUAUAUGUAUUCCGUGGGAUUUGACUUAGCACUAAAUGUGGACUUGAGAUGGGGGCUCAAAAUACAGGGUCCUUAUAUAAAGUCUCUUGUCUUAUAACUACGUGCCACCGUAGGAUUGCCUUUUUGGCCUAACUAGUGGAUCCACAUAUAGCAUAUGCAUGACCCGCCUAGCAGGGUAGAGUCUACCUUGGCAACUAGAUUCUCCUUUCCUCCAAUGUAGGGAUAACAUUGGGAUUUCUUGUUAUAGUUCGCAUGGUCUUAUUGUCGGUUAUGGUUCCUAUCCCACAUAAAUAUGGUCCUUGUUAUGUUUUAAAUGACUAAUCCUAUCUUUUAUUUUAUAUGAUACUCUUAUGGUUUAUUAUGCAUUGAUCCUUCUUAAAGACUACUUAUGAUUUUUACUACUUCUCCCAUCAUGCUAUUUUAAAAUGGUCAUUUGCACAAACAUGGUUUUCUAUGCAUUGUAUUGCCUAUAUACUUAGUACAUUCCAACGUACUAAUGCAUACUUUUGCCUACAUUGUCUCAUAAUGUAGGGGUUGAGGUUAAAGAUCAUAUUCCUCUAUGUGGCUAGUUAAGCUUUCCUAUCAGCAGUGUUUGUGGUGAGUCCUUAUCUAUCGGGGACUAGUCAUCGAGUUGGUUAAUAUUUUUCAAAGACUUUUGUUAUGUUUCAUAUUGAGGGUUAGCUAGGGACAUAUCUUAGCCCCCACCCAUGUUCAUGAGUAGAGGCAUCUAGUUGGACAAAUAUUUUGAGUCUAUGUUGUCAUAUGACAUUCUUAAAUUUUUAUUCAUAGUUUAGAUUCUCUUAUGAUGUUUUUGCUUUUAUUUUACCUUGUGUAUGCUUAUGAUAUGUACAAGAGGCUUAGUUGGAUCCCUUCUGGGUUUCGAUCGCCAUGUUAUGACUAGGUUCUAGAUCGGGUCAUGACAAAUGUUUACUUUAAAAGUAUAGUGAAUCUAUAAGAUAUAUUGUCCUCACCUUCUUCUCUUUUAGUUCAAGUCUCUAAUAUAACUAUAAGUUCUCCUAUGUUGUAUUUAUUGAAUAGAUUCCCUUCCAACUCACUAAUUGCUUUUGCAUUCUCUUUGUGUGCUUUAUCCUUCAUUAAGGUCUAAUGCUUCUUCAAAGUUGACACAUAUUUUCAGUUAUUGAAGGCAAUGAUCCCGCAUAUCCAUCAAUACAUUGCAUUUGAUAGUAGCUUGUUAAAAUUAAUGCUCAACUUCUCAAAGAAGCCUGAAAACCCACAAACAAAACUUAUUGAAGCUAGUUUUACUAACAAGUCAAGAGGAAUUCUCACAAACUUUAUUUUCCAAGCUAUAGUUGUAAAGGUGCAUUAAAUUACUGGACUUAGUCAACACACUACUAUCCUUGCAAUAAUGAUCAGUGUAUUGACUGAUGUUAGGCCUUCACAAUCCAUCUGUACUUUGACAAUUGGUAGACCUUACACUAGAAAUAUAUAGACUUUGCUCCACUUCUAGAAGGUUGAAAUCUGCGUGAAGAUUAGCUCCCUCCAUGGGCUCGACACACUAAACCUGAAACUGCUCAAAAUAGUAGCUGGAGUUGACACUUUUUUAGUUAUGAGAACUGCUAAGUGUUGAUUUUGGAGCUCAAAGAGCCUACGCAGUUGGAUAAGCAUAUAUGACAUGAUCUAUAUUAAUAUUAUUUGAUGAAGGAUGUUAGUUCUUUUUUCAUGAAGUAGUUGUGUAAACUCUGACGGUGACUCAUAUUAUGAUGAGAAUUCAUAUAUAUAUAUAUAUAUAUAUAUAUAAUUUUGUUUUGGAAUUAUGUA